rnacentral:rRNA from 1 species
CGCGAGUAUUCAGAGUUUGAUCCUGGCUCAGAUUGAACGCUGGCGGCAUGCCUUACACAUGCAAGUCGAACGGCAGCACGGGUGCUUGCACCUGGUGGCGAGUGGCGAACGGGUGAGUAAUGCAUCGGAACGUACCCUGGAGUGGGGGAUAACUAUCCGAAAGGAUAGCUAAUACCGCAUAUUCUAUGAGUAGGAAAGCGGGGGAUCUUCGGACCUCGCGCUCCGGGAGCGGCCGAUGUCAGAUUAGCUAGUUGGUGGGGUAAAGGCCUACCAAGGCUACGAUCUGUAGCGGGUCUGAGAGGAUGAUCCGCCACACUGGGACUGAGACACGGCCCAG